rnacentral:sRNA from 1 species
CCUUGGGUCCUGCCGCACAGAGCGGCCUGUCUUUAUCAGAGGUCCCUCUGCCAGGGGGAGGGCCCCAGAGAAAACCAGAAAGAGGAAACCCAGUGGAGCGAAUGUAUCAAGACACAUUCUCCGACAACUUUUAUAAUAGACCCAUCCUUUCUCAUCGGAAUACCGUCUGGCUGUGCUACGAAGUGAAAACAAAGGGUCCCUCAAGGCCCCCUUUGGACGCAAAGAUCUUUCGAGGCCAGGUGUAUUCCAAACUUAAGUACCACCCAGAGAUGAGAUUCUUCCACUGGUUCAGCAAGUGGAGGAAGCUGCAUCGUGACCAGGAGUAUGAGGUCACCUGGUACAUAUCCUGGAGCCCCUGCACAAAGUGUACAAGGGAUGUGGCCACGUUCCUGGCCGAGGACCCGAAGGUUACCCUGACCAUCUUUGUUGCCCGCCUCUACUACUUCUGGGACCCAGAUUACCAGGAGGCUCUUCGCAGCCUGUGUCAGAAAAGAGACGGUCCGCGUGCCACCAUGAAGAUCAUGAAUUAUGACGAAUUUCAGCACUGUUGGAGCAAGUUCGUGUACAGCCAAAGAGAGCUAUUUGAGCCUUGGAAUAAUCUGCCUAAAUAUUAUAUAUUACUGCACAUCAUGCUGGGGGAGAUUCUCAGACACUCGAUGGAUCCACCCACAUUCACUUCCAACUUUAACAAUGAACUUUGGGUCAGAGGACGGCAUGAGACUUACCUGUGUUAUGAGGUGGAGCGCCUGCACAAUGACACCUGGGUCCUGCUGAACCAGCGCAGGGGCUUUCUAUGCAACCAG